ACCUGGCUGGCUCAGCCGGUGGAGCGUAGGACUCUUGAUCUUGGGGUUGUAAGUUCAAGCCCCACCUUAGGUG
rnacentral:tRNA from 1 species